rfam:Rhodocyclales bacterium RIFCSPLOWO2_02_FTLL_63_24 rifcsplowo2_02_scaffold_10683, whole genome shotgun sequence.
AAGACCGUGAGGGAUUGUUCGAAGGAAGCCGGAAGCAAACGCGCGAGGCGACGGACAGAAACCGCAUAGAAGGCCGAGAGGGUCGAGGCGAGUCGGCACAGGACGACAAAGCCCACCGGUACGACCCUUACGGUAAAUGCAGCGCUUGUGCACGGAAACAUCGCGUU